AUUGAACGCUGGCGGCAGGCUUAACACAUGCAAGUCGAGCGGAGUAUUGGUGCUUGCACCAAUACUUAGCGGCGGACGGGUGAGUAAUGCUUAGGAAUCUGCCUAUUAGUGGGGGACAACAUCUCGAAAGGGAUGCUAAUACCGCAUACGCCCUACGGGGGAAAGCAGGGGAUCUUCGGACCUUGCGCUAAUAGAUGAGCCUAAGUCGGAUUAGCUAGUUGGUGGGGUAAAGGCCUACCAAGGCGACGAUCUGUAGCGGGUCUGAGAGGAUGAUCCGCCACACUGGGACUGAGACACGGCCCAGACUCCUACGGGAGGCAGCAGUGGGGAAUAUUGGACAGUGGGGGGAACCCUGAUCCAGCCAUGCCGCGUGUGUGAAGAAGGCCUUUUGGUUGUAAAGCACUUUAAGCGAGGAGGAGGCUACUCUAGUUAAUACCUAGAGAUAGUGGACGUUACUCGCAGAAUAAGCACCGGCUAACUCUGUGCCAGCAGCCGCGGUAAAAC
rnacentral:rRNA from 1 species